rnacentral:rRNA from 1 species
CCUACGGGAGGCUGCAGUGGGGGAUAUUGCACAAUGGAGGAAACUCUGAUGCAGCGACGCCGCGUGAGGGAAGACGGUCUUCGGAUUGUAAACCUCUGUCUUUGGGGAAGAAAAUGACGGUACCCAAAGAGGAAGCUCCGGCUAACUACGUGCCAGCAACCGCGGUAAUACGUAGGGCGCGAGCGUUUUCCGGAAUUACUGGGGGUAAAGGGAUUGUAGGCGGGUGAGAAAGUUGAAUGUUAAAUCUAAGGGUUUAACUGGUAGCUGCGUUCAAAACUUGUUUUCUUGAGUGAAGUAGAGGAAGGCGGAAUUCCGAGUGUAGCGGUGAAAUGCGUAGAUAUUAGGAGGAACACCAGUGGCGAAGGCAGCCUGCUGGGCUUUAACUGACGCUGAGGCUCGAAAGCGUGGGGAGCAAACAGGAUUAGAUACCCUAGUAGUC